rnacentral:rRNA from 1 species
GUGGGGAAUAUUGGACAAUGGGCGCAAGCCUGAUCCAGCAAUUCCGCGUGGGUGAAGAAGGUCUUCGGAUUGUAAAGCCCUUUCGGCGGGGACGAUGAUGACGGUACCCGCAGAAGAAGCCCCGGCUAACUUCGUGCCAGCAGCCGCGGUAAUACGAAGGGGGCUAGCGUUGCUCGGAAUGACUGGGCGUAAAGGGCGCGUAGGCGGCACACACAGUCAGGCGUGAAAUUCCUGGGCUUAACCUGGGGGCUGCGUUUGAAACGUGUGAGCUAGAGGAUGGAAGAGGCUCGUGGAAUUCCCAGUGUAGAGGUGAAAUUCGUAGAUAUUGGGAAGAACACCGGUGGCGAAGGCGGCGAGCUGGUCCAUUACUGACGCUGAGGCGCGAAAGCGUGGGGAGCAAACAGGAUUAGAAACCCUUGUAGUCC